CCGCCCCAUCGUCCCCAACCUCCCGUUCAUCCCGCUCGGGAUAGAGCACGAGCCCGCGCCCGCAACCGCCGCACCUCGCCUUCGGGGAUAAGGCUUAUCCCGCAGCCCCGAGCACCCCUCUCCGCGCCUAUAAGAAGCCCUCGACCCACUCUCUCCAUUCUGCCACUUCGUUUCGCCUCACAUCACCCAUAGCCGACGCCCUCCUGCUUUGGAUCUCGCCGGAGCCGGAGCUUCCUUGCCGGAGUAAAACGCCGCCAGGACCGCCGGAGACGCCGCCUCGACGAAGCCCGAGUUCGCCGAAGCACCGGAGCUCCGCCGCCUCCCUCCUCCCCAUCCCGUGCACGCCAACGCCUACCAUCACCACCAUCCGGUCGCUCGCGCCACGACGGUCCCCUUCGCCUUCUUCCCCGCCGCUGAGGAGCACCGCCGCCACCGCCCGUCCGCCACCUGACGCCAACGCCGCCGCCCCCUGCUCGUCGUCAUCGCCGCUAUUUUCAUCGGAGAGUGACGAAUAGUUCUAUUAAGUAAAAUUCUGAGAGCGAUAUAAUCUUCAUCAACUAUUAGCAGGCAAGUUCACAUUUGACCAUUCUUCCAAUUACCUAUGUUUAUAUUAUGCACUUAGUCCUUUUUGUGGUAGGAUUGCAUGGUAGGAUUUAUUGUUGCCAGAUGGCUAUGCCGUUACCUAGUAGUUCAUUUGAGGUAGGUCUGAUCUAUACUUCCUUGUCACCACCGUGUAAGUUUAUUUUUGCCUCGCUAAAUGUAGACGUGGUUUGGGAAGCGAACAUGGUGAGACAUCAGUGACAAAGUAGUAAGCAGGACCAAGACUUGUAAAUGAACUACCUGGGUGGUAUUUGGUUUGAAUGGUGGCUAAGUACAGUGGGAGCAUGCAUGGUUAAUCCAUGGUGGUGCACCACUAGUGGUCGGCCGCCCAGGCUCAAAGAGAUCAAUCGUAUUCUCAUGUCUAGAAGCUUACGUG